rnacentral:rRNA from 1 species
UACGUAGGGGCAAGCGUUGUCCGGAUUCAUUGGGCGUAAAGAGCGUGUAGGCGGCCAGGUAGGUCGGUUGUGAAAACUGGAGGCUCAACCUUCAGAGGUCGACCGAAACCAUCUGGCUAGAGUCCGGGAGAGGAGAGUGGAAUUCCUGGUGUAGCGGUGAAAUGCGCAGAUAUCAGGAAGAACACCCGUGGCGAAAGCGGCUCUCUGGAACGGUACUGACGCUGAGACGCGAAAGCGUGGGAGCGAACAGG